UACGGAGGGUGCAAGCGUUAUCCGGAUUCACUGGGUUUAAAGGGUGCGUAGGUGGCCUUAUAAGUCAGUGGUGAAAUCCUGUUGCUUAACAACAGAAUUGCCAUUGAUACUGUAGGGCUUGAGUACAGAUGCCGUUGGCGGAAUAUGACAUGUAGUGGUGAAAUACAUAGAGAUGUCAUAGAACACCGAUUGCGAAGGCAGCUGACGAAACUGUAACUGACACUGAGGCUCGAAAGUGCGGGGAUCAAACAGG
rnacentral:rRNA from 1 species